AGCGGUCAUAACACCAUACAGCACAAUGAAAACAUGACAUAUCAAAAGCCAAUUAAAUAGUAUCGUACUGACAAAUUGGGAAAUCUAUAGGCAGCGUACUACGGCAGCCCAGACGCGACAGCACAUGAUUAAACAUUAAAAAAUCCAAAUAUAUCAAAGACAAAACCAAAAAAAUAAAAAACUCAAAAAAUACAAAAAUCUAAAAUUACAAAAAUCUAAAAAUACAAAAACCGUUUUUGUGCUGUCGCGUCUGGGCUGCAGUAGCAUACAAAAUAAAAUGGAUUUUAAAGAAUAUCACGGCAAGGUUUUUCCCAAAAGUCGGGAUGGUUUUUGCUAUUUGUUUGAAGUGAAUGUUUCGGAGUUUUAAAUAAGUUUUAAAUUGUCCGUGAAUAUGUUUGACACAGUAAAAUUAUAAAGGAAUCCUGCCUUUCAAGUUAAAUACAACAUUUUGUGCUUCUUUUGUUUUCUGG